rnacentral:lncRNA from 1 species
GUGGCAAAGAAGCUAUGUGUUGCCAGGUGAGCAAGGCACUUCGUCUACGUGCACGAGGACUGAAUUCAUCCAGGUUUGUAUUCACGAUUUGGAAGCUGAAUCCUGGUGGCUCAACUCUCUUGAGUUGAAAUGUGUGCAAAGCAGGUCAAAGUAACAAAUAGCAAAAAAAGUGUUUGCAGGUUCCACGCAAUCAAAUAUCAAAGAUUAUAAUAUAUUUUAACAACAAAUUAUGAGAGGAUAUCGCCCAAGUAGCAAUGCAUGGCACUGUGGCUCCCCAUGACAUGCUCCCUGGAACAGAGGGUGAUUCUGACAACCAGAAUGUACCACCUUCAAGAAGCUCAACCUU